UCUCCACCUGAAACACACACAGAGAGAAAGCAGAGUUUGAAGUCAGUCAGAAUCUCACUGCUAAGCAUUAAUGUCUUCUAUAUGGUCAAAAGUAUGCGGACACCACAGCUGUUAAAAACAUAAUUUCAGAAAUAUGGGGACUGAUGUGCUGCUCUAACAGCUAAACCUUUCACAAACUUCCAGAGCCUGCCUGUAGAGAUGAGCACUUCUAGCCUCGAUGUGAGGCUGGGGACUGAUGCUGAAAGACACGACAGAGCUAACGGUCCGCUCACACUUCAUCCCAAAGCUGCUGGAUGAGGCUGAGCUCAGGGCUUUCUGCAGGUCUACACUAUGUCAAACUCAGGAAAAAAAGCCUAAUUUCUUCAUAGAUAUUGCUUAAUGCAGUUAGAUUUUCAUGUUGAAACACAGUGGGGCCUUUCCCAAACUGUUGCCACAACACUAGAAGCAUACUAUUGUCUGAAAUAGCAUUAGGACUAUCCUUUACUGGAACUUAAAAGUCUGGAGUACAAGGUCGUCCACUGACCGUACAGUGUACUCAACAGAAUUCACAUCUUGAGUAAAGAGUUAAAAUAUAACAAGUGUUUCUACUUCAGUAUGUUUAGAACAAGUGUGGCAACUUUAGAAGGACAGAUAGCAAAUGAAAUAUAACAGCAAAGACACUUACUUUGUAAUAGUUUGCGACACUGAUAAGCUAUAAAGGUUGCCUUGUGUGAAACCAAGGGGUAGGGGCUGACAGGGAGGGAAAAAGGUACAAUCUAUAUUUUGUAUUGCUCAGAAUUCAUCAUUCACUUUUUCUUAAUGCCAAUGUACAAACACUGCAGCAUUUUUAUCCCCACUAAAUGCACUAGUGCUUUUGACAGGUAAUCCGCAGACAUUUAACUGUAAAGCGAGCAUUCCUCGCUGAUGGUCCGUCGGAGCAAGAGAGCAGUAUCUCAGUCAGCGAUCGAGCAGUUUGAGGUUCAGAGAUAAUUACCACUCCACUGUACUCAGCUAACGGUGUACUCGGCAAAGACUACCGUGCAUAACCCCGAAAAAGAAAAAGAAAAAUCUUAAAAUAAAGUAGGAAAAAAGGCAUCUGUUCUCAUAAAAAAAAAAAAAAAAAAUCCCAUUUUAAUAAAGCCAAAGUAUCAAGUUAUUAGACAGACCACAAAUGGCAAGACCUGGAAUAUAAAAGAAAGCAACUGAAAAAGAAAUUACCCAACUGAAGGGAUCAAAAAACUGCCAUAAAAAAAUGCAACGUGUCGACAGCUUUUUGAACGCAAACUAGUGUGCGUGCAAAUGUGUUAAAAGAAGAAACUUUGUCCUGAAAGUAAUCCCGAGGGAGAUUGGGUCCAACGAUUGUGUUGCCACUAGAGGUCUCAAUGGACCUGUAAUUAUGACCUUAGUAUGAAACAGACCUGAUAGCUCGAUAGCUAAUAAAAUCGCCAACAUAAUUCCACUCCAAACAGAUGCUGAUAAGUCAAGCAGUUCUUCCCUUUCUUUUCCUUUCUUACUCACAAACUAGAGCGCUGCGUAAAUGACAUAUUUGUUUUUAAAAAGCAUUUCAUUCAUUCGUUUUUAGAAAGGAAAUAUGUAACUUUAAUUCUUCCAAGCAGCAUUUUUUUUCCCCCACGUGAUAAUGAGGAUUUAAUCAGGGAUAAUAAAUGAAAAAAUGAACUGCUGUAUAAAGGCACUGCUUUUUUCAGCAGUGCUGUCUUUGAAUGAAGUUCAGAAUGUAAACCCUGUGUGAGGGACUGACUAAUCUGUUUGUGUUCUUGCAUUUAAAAAAAAAAAAAGCCUUAUUGCAAUCUGACUUUAAAACUCUGGAUGUCAGUGUCCCUCAAAGACUAAAAACACAGUUUUUAAAAUGGUCACAGCUCUAUGUGACAUUAUCAUGCAUAAAAAAAGAAAAAAGCACAACUGUACGUCUCAAGCAACAGUGAGCUGAAAGGUCAGAAGUCAAUCUAAAAAUCUGUGGCAUGGCAGAGGAAAACAAAGCAGCACGAACUAUGGGACAGCGGAGAUAACAUAUAUUCUAAUAUGCUGUCUAGAAUGUUCAUUAAUUUAACCUCCAAUGCCUUCACAAGUACACACACACACACACACACAUUACAGUAUAUCAAUUUGCUUCCAAUGUCUAUUAAUACUCAAGGAAGCAGGAAAGCAGUGAUUAAAAAAAAAGCAUGUUUUUGCACAACUUUUCCAGUGUACAUCAGGUGCUACUGAUAUGCAACAAUCCAGAAUGUGUGUCAUCUUUCUAUCUUAAUGCAUUAAUAAUUAUCUUUCUUUAUGGCGGACAUUAAUAACCGCAUCUGAAAUCUGUUAGAUUAGCAAAAGGCAGAGAGCAGAGAUGCAACAGUGCUGUUCACCGUCAGACACACCUGACAGUAGCAGGAGGGAGGCAAGACAGCCAGGACUGCUGCUCUACUUUUAAUUCCCCCCAAGCAGAAGCCAAGCCAUUUAAUUACAAAUCAUUCAUGUCACAAUACAUUAAAAAAAAAAAAUUAUAGUGACUGUGUGGACAAACAUAUCACAAGUUAAUUUGGCGGCAAAACGGAGCAAUUCCUCACGCAAACUUUUCACCGAUGAUAUUUCAAAAUUUCAAACGCCCAUAUUUUGCACAGACGAUGCAGAAUCUGUUGUACAUUCUAAAUACCGUGUUAAUGUUUUAUUGAAAAGCAUAAUUUCACCGAGAACACAGCAUUUAAAACGCACAAGGCAUCAAACAGUUAAGACAUUUGAUACCUCAGCCACUGUGGUUAAUUUACAACUUCGCAUCAAGGGUGUGUAACUGCUAGAUCUGUGGGGCAUGACCAAAUCUCGUAUUAGUCCUGUGCUAAUAAAGUCCACCUCCUCCGUCAGGGAGCACAACAACAGCUACUGGAAGCAGCACUGGAGCAACUGAAAUUGAAAUAUGCAUCUUAAAAAAAAAGCUAAAAAUUAAAAAAAAUCAUAACUUGCUUUAUAAUCAUGAGGAUUUGCAUUUUUAAUAAUUGGAAGCAGAAUCAGUUCAGACAAAAUAAGAAAUUUAUAACUGUGAAUGGGCUCUGGAAAAGCUGCAAGGUGGAAAGUAGUGCCUGACAUGGUUUCAAAUUAAUAAGCUAAUUUAAAAGAGAAAAGGUUCAGUCAAUUAAUUAAAAAAAAAAAAAAAAAAAAGAGUUGUAGCAUUGGAAGCUACUACUGAUGUGGCCGGUUUGUUUCCUUGUAGUAAACAGCCUGUUACAGAAAAUUUGUCUCAUCAUUUCCUGAUCUCAUGUGUAGCUUCUAAGUGUCCUUUAAAAAAAAAAAUAAAAAAAUUAUACACUACUGCAUGAAUUUUAACUGAAGCUGGAAUAAAACAACCAUUUCACCUUGUCCAUCCUUAUAAAAUACUCAACAAAGACACACUUUGCAACAAACCAGGAAGCAUGCCCGGACGUGUCACCUUCACCGCUCAGCCUUUUUAACCCAUUCCUACGACACUUGCUCCCCAUACAAUGACCUCAAAGAGUCACCUGACCCCAAGGUUGAAAGGUCAUGUAACCUCCUACACCCUGUCGGGCACAGAGACAUGGACAUGACAACCCAUCACCUCCCCAGAUCAUUUGGUCUGGAACGGCCUCUUCUGGUCUGUUUUACACAAUCUUCUGCUUGUACAAACACAAACUAAAGGGACUUCCACUGACAUCCUAAGCAGAGGGAAAGACUGAAUGGGAAUCACAUCUAUCCACAUGAAAAGAUCAAUGCAGAAAAAAAAUAACUAAAAACAUUGUUGAUAAAUACUAAUUAGCCAACCCAGAAUACAAUGAUUGCAAGAAUAGAUGCCCUGCUUCCUCGCUUUCACUUUGGCAUGCAGGCAAAAUGCAUCCCUGCACAAUUACAAAUCCACCACUUGUAAAAUUUAAGCCAGAUAAACACCAGGUAUUAUGCCAGCCAAAUUAUUGUUGUCCUGCGUUUGGCAAGACAAGUACACAUAGUACAAAUACACUAUUUGGAUACCGCCACAACUUUAGAAGUUAGGGUAAAAUGCUUCAUUAACUACUGGGGGAAUAUUUACAUGGCAUGAGAUCUUUUCAACAUCGUGGUGCAAAAUCAAUUCAUCCAUAACAACGAGAAACUCAAUUGUGAUAACAGGAGAAAAUCAUCACCUUUUACCAAUAAUACUCGGGGAGGGUGUGCUAAGUCUAAAAGCAACAACGCAGGAGGUGAUGAAUAGUUUUACUGUUCAUAGAAGACCAAGGAUGCUACCAGUGAAGAACUGCUUUGUUCCAUACAAAACACCAGUGCUGUGACGGUAUGUGUUAAUCCAAGAAAAGCCUGUUACAUUUGCACACCCAGCAAAACAUGUAAAGCACAGGCACAUGCAAAGUGACUGGGAUUCUUUGGAAGCGAAAGCCAUAUCAUGACAAAUGCACAAUAGAAACGUGAAAAUAUACACCUCGGAUGAACAGCUGAAUAAACCUAUUUCAAGGGACAACACUAGCAGAUAAGUGGGUGACCUCUGAGUCAUUUUUAACUCUACUUGUAUACGCUACUCCCUUUAUUUACUGUCUGGUGACUGACACAACAACCUCACACAUUUAAGGUAUGUGGCAUCUGUACUAAAUAAUAUAAAAAAACACUGGAUUGUUUUAACAAAUAAUAAAUAUAAAGUAUGAUAUAAAUAAGGCCUGAAACGGAUUUGGUCCAAGCACAAUAACCAUCUAACAAGUAAUGAUUAAUCUGAUUCAUUGUGCUGUGUCAAAUCCGGUAAUGAGAGCAUGUCUUACAGCAGGACAGAACAUGUCUUUAAAGGUUUAUUAAUAGUUAAGUUCUUUUUUUAACCACUUCCAGCAAAAGUAUGGGCCAAAUUAUAAGGCUCCCCCAUGACUAACAGCAGUGUCUGUCAUCUAAAUACACCAGUGUGUCCACAAUGUGUGUGGUGAAAUAUUUAAUCCAAACACACAACUGCUGUACCUGCCUCUACAGUAUAAACAGUGCAGUUCAACUCAGUACAACAAAUUAAUUUCUGAUCUCUCCAGUUAUUUACUACUUUGCUUAAACUAUUUCAAGCUUCCCCCUACUGUCACCAAAGACAGAGCAGCAAUAAACAGGAUGCAGACAAAGCAGUACACUGUGAUGCAAUUUCAAAAGUACGACCUGGGGACUUGAUUCACACUUGACCAAUAGCAUGAAACUACUUUCAGAGGGCAGAGUUAGAAGAGCCUCAACAUUUCAAAUUUCCAAAACAAUCUGACUGCCUCAACUUCUUUUUUUUUUUUUUUAAUUUCAGUGCCUCAGUACUUACAAAACAGGUAAGGCUGAAAUUACGAUCCAACCAAGCAUGCACGUUGUAUGUGCAUAUUCUCACACAUUCAAGCCGGGCAAAAGGGGAAGCAGAGCAAAAGUGUAAGAGUGGAAUCACACACCCAUACACUCAUGUAGAAAUUACACAAACAAAGAGACUAUACUCUGUUUGUUGCACAACAUUAUUCUGGUUUGGUCAUAAUAAAAAAAAGAAAGAAAUUUAAUGCAUUCACACAGUACAACCAAAAUAUUCUUAUAAAAGAAAUAGUAAAAAUUAUGAUGCUUUCAAUUAAAGCAAAAAUAAAUGAACUAUUCAAAGUGUAUUAUGCCUCCUGUGUGUGGUAAGUCUAACAAAUUAAUGACAAGUAAUUACAGGCAUGAAGAACGUUUGUUGAUUUAACCACGUCCCUUAUUAGGCUGGACCAACCUAUUUACAACUACAUAACUGUAUGGUGACGAUUACACACCAGCAGACCAACAUGAAAUACAGCAGCAAAAGCAAAAGUACGAGGGCAGAUAUUACCGUUGGAAAUUCCCCCAAUUAGUGCAACUUUUAAUACUGACCAAACGAAAUAUUGUUUGUCACACUAAGUGAAAAGAUCAAGUCUCUGUGCACCCAAGCACACUGCACGAGGAGAGGCAGUGACUGAGGUCUCCCUGCUUACAAACUCAAGGCUAAUAAAAUAGGAAUAUAAAACCCGACUUUAAUAUUCUGAAUCAUCUGAAAUCUUUCCAAUCUAAUUGCAUACAAGUUAAUACUGUGGGUUAAUCUAGCUCCCUCAGGUGAAAAAAAGGUUGGUGGUGCAGAAAUGAAAACACCAUGUGUGUCUAGUCAGGAGGCAGGCUGCUGCUGUGUCACAUCUUACUGGUAGUGCAGUUGCAGGUUAUCAUAUUACUACCUAAAAUGCAAUUAUCAAGCAGACAAUUCACCAUCACUGAAACAGCUGACGUCUUACUAGUCAUGCUGUCCAAGUCUAGAAGUAUGCCUAUCACUCCACUCAAAAACAAGAUAGUAGCUUUUUUUUGUUUUUAAAAAUGCAACUUUUUUUGAGUGCAACAUAGGCACACAAAGCUUUGAUCUGUAGAGAAGCGCAUUUGACCUUUUCAAAAUGUAUUAACAUUUUUAACAUACUGCCCAGCCUAAAUUCAUCAGUGUUUAUGACACAUUAUCUUUACUUUAGGCACGUUACAAAAAGGCACAUUUUUUUCCUCCAGCUUAACAGAUUUACUAAGAAUGUGAUGUAUACAUAAACAGUAACUCCAGUUAAGUACAUAACAGACAGUAAUUUUGAAAAUAUUACUCCAACCACUGUAAACUCUUUUUUUUUAACUUUUAGACAUUUUAGUCAAACAAGUGUAAAGCUGUGUGCACUGUGACAAUGCAGCACCUACUGUAUGCAAAAAAAUCUAAGCCAAUGCAAAACAUAUGCUUGUAAGAAGCAUGCAAGGACCUGGCACCAUCAUAUUCUGCACUGCUGCUACUACUGUUAUCAGCCUUAACUGACGCUAUGGUCAAAUAGACACACACAUCUAAACUUGAGGCUCACCUAUAAUGGCCACUAUUUAAAUUAUUCCAGAACUUAAAAUAUUAUGUGUGCAAGAAAUCUGACCAUUUGACAGCUUCUAUUUAAUGCUGCUGAGACGCAGAACUAAAACCAAGGCCAACUCCUGGAAAAUAACCAACAAGACUCGUGAAAACCUGUUCCUAUCACAGCAAAUUUGAAUACUAUAAAGUUUGUGCUGAGUGGUGCAGAAAGAAGGAAGAGAAGGGUGGGGGUGCUCUGCAGUCUGGCUACAACACAUGUGAGCAAGUACAAGAAGAGAGGCACAGUUUCACCAGGAAAUGGGGGUGGGAGCCCAUUUUGCCAGAGGGGUCUGAGAAGACAGAAUGAUGAGUCACAGAAUGUCAUGCUAACAGUCUGAAACAGCACAACGGUGCUCUACAAAGAGAGUGAAAAGGCAAAUACCACAGAACCGAGAGGAAACAUAAACCUGUAGCAUUUGAAGGAGAUUAACUUUAAGCACUACAAGAAUAAAACAGAAAACUUAAAAUGCACCAGCAGUAAUUUGACAAUUGCAUAUAGGGACAGAAUCAACAAUGUUGUAUUGCUUCAUAGCAAAAAUGUGCAAGCAAAAUAUUUUACACCAACGUCACCUGCAUGGGCAUAUUCUAAAACCAAGCAACCAGUGAGAAAGAGAGCAAGUAUUACUAAGACUCUUGAUCAUUAAAUUUCAUUUUGACAAACUGCUACCCGCUCUCCUCUAGACAUUAGAUGCACACAUUCAAAUGUGUAGUUUUUUUAUCAAACAUAGAUAUCAGCAAUAAGCACACACACUGCAGCUGGUAUAGUAAAAUUAAUUAUAAGAGAUCCCUUAAUAAACUGACUAAAAUUAGAUUUUAAUAAUUAUUUAUGGUGCCUCAACUAAAAUAUAUAGUAGUAUUUAUAACAAGUGUAUUUUAAUCCUUUCCCAUUUUAACAAAUAGGCUGACACUGAGAAUCAGACCAUCGAUGUGUGUGUGUGUGAUUUUUUUUAUUUUUUUUUUUACAUCUAUACUUACACACCCCAGCACUGUGUAGCAUUUUUAUCUAUUUACAGCAUUAGAGUCAUUUAAAUUCCAAUCUUCAAAACUGUUAACACCUAUCUGGUAAACUGACAAUGACAAACCUUCAGACUGACAGCUUCAACUUUUACCACAAAAUAAGCAGGCAGGUGUACUCAGGUUUGUCAUUAUGUUUGACUAGAUGCAUAAAUCAGACUAGUACUAGUAAAAAUGUUUAGAAUCCACCACAUAAAAACAAUUAGAAGUCUGAAUGACCACACUGUCCAUGUGUUACUUUACACCCAUUUUACUAAUGUGCAGCUUAAGUGUAGUGACUUCAGCUGUAGUGUAUAUCAAUUUAACAUGACACAGUAUACCUAUAUAAUUAGCAAUAAACUGUAGAUUUAUUUAGCAAUUGUAUUUCAUAAUGGUGAAUGUCAGUUUACACCACCUCAUGUGUACAGUGAAAUGGGAACUUGGUUUAAAUAUAAGUUAUCCAUCCACUGUAAAUACACCAUGUGGUGUGUGUAAUUCCUGAAGCUGAUGAUCACAUGCCUAUCACAUUUUAAGCCAUCAUACGAUUCACUGUGUUUCAUAAUUCCACAAAUUAAAGCUUUUUUUUUUUUGGUAAGUCAGACACACCACAUGUUACUGUACAGUAAUUUCCUCAUCCUGCACCUCUUUGCUCUGCUUGUGUCUCAGACUCCCACAUUAGCUAAUUCCUCCCCAACUAAAGUCUAUGAAAAUAAACAAAAUAUUACCACAGGAGUUUCACUAUGAAAAUGAUGGCCCACUUUUGCAACAAUUAUUACACCAAGGGUACAAUCUGCAAUUCCAGUGAACACAACAGUGCCUAAACCUUUGGUAUUUAGUUACGUUUUCAUUCAGGUCAUGCAUAUCUAAUUGAAGUGGAAGCACAACUCUUUUCCUUACUGCUGCAGAAUAUGUAUGACAAAAUAAAAAUCCUGGAAAAAAUGCUAUUAGUAAGCACACUGUCAGAUGUGACGGGCUAAGGAAAAAAAUGGCAUUGCUGGGGAAAUGAAGAGAGGUGCCUGCACUCUGUCUCAUGUUCAGCUGAAAUACGAUUUUUUAAUAAACCUUAAACAAGAUAUUGAACAACGUGGACCCGUAUUUCUUAGAAUAAAUGCAACACUAAAAGAUAGGAAGGCCUCACAUUAUGUAACACAUUAAACCGAUCUCUACUUAGAAGGAAGUAGAAGGGGCGGGUUUGGACACACAAUUAUAUAGAGCCUCUCUUUUCCUCUCAUGUGUUUUAAUAGUCAUGUUCAUGAUAAAAUGGCAUAAUGUCGCAUAAAAUGUCACACAUGCAACCUCUAAAGCAAUAAAUGAUUAGGUCCGUUUGGUCACUCUUUAGUAACACGAUUAGACCACGCAGGCUGUCUUUCUUUUCCUCCACAGUGCUUGAAUCUAAUCAGGGUUCAGAAAACAGAAAAAAAAGUGCAGCGAUGCUAGUCAGAGCAAGAAAAAAAAGGCAAAGGGAGACAGAAAGCAAUGAGUGAAAAUCUUCGGCAUCGAACUACGAUGAGCCAAAACAAAAAAUCCCUCCAACAUUACUGUGUGCCACGGGCAGCACCACAACCAGCUAUACAAUUCUUACUUUUAUCAAGUUAAUUCAGCUUUAUUGCAUCGUUAGCGGUUAUGACUGCCAUUCGAUUAGCACAGCUAUUAAAAGUUGAACCAUGAGAAGUUGCGACCUAUGAUUGUUGUCACUUGGCUGGGAGCCACAUCGAUCAUCCAACGUUAAUCUCAGGUAUUUGAACUUAACAAAUAUAAAGCAGAAACUUCACGCCGGAUAAGUUAAAUAUUUGCCACUGGCCAUGAGGGUUGCAUUAAUACACGAGCUGUCACUAACAACCUUAACCACUUUACCUCACAGAUGGGGAAAAUAAAACUAACUCCGUCAUUGCUGCCUGAUUUUGAGGUCAUACAGCGAUUUAAUGAUAAACUUACCAGGUGUUUUCUGUCCAACAAUCCAAAAAAAAUUUUAAAAAAAAUAAAUAAAUAAAAACCCGCUCGCAUCAACACAUAUGCAAUUUACCAAGCUCGGACAAAAUGUCUGCCUGAGCUAACAAGCUUGGUAAAAAAAAUUAAGUUACCAGAAAAAGGCACCGUGUCUGUCCCGGUCUCUCGGUUUGAUUUUUUCCCUCCCAAGCCCUGUGUAGGUGCCGUGUGCAUUUGUUGACACUGCCGACUGUGCUUCUCCUCUGCUGGAGCCUGGCUGCUUUUGCACCUCCCGCUCAAAAAAAAGAAAAAAACAAAAGGAAAAAAACAGGGCUCCGGUGCGAAAUAAAUUAUCCGUUAUUACUUCAACUUUGAUUAAUAAUACCUAAAGGAAAGUGUCUCGUUAAUGUGAGGUAAUUUUCCAAACUAGUCGUGGGCUUUUUUUCUCGAAUAAAUCCCCCUCGGCUCCUGGAUAUAACAUUUUUUUCUUACCAUUACAGCGCAGCAAAGUCAGAAAUCCCUCUCUGUGAGCUAGCACGCUAAGCUAGCAGGCUAACAGCUAGGAGUAGAACAAGCUGGCAAAGCUGGCCAAAUGGCUAACGUCUCCCCGCCACGGUCUCUCUCUCCCUCUCUCUCUCUCUCCUCUUUUCCACGUAUCCCUCUCCUCCAGCCCGCUCAUUCCCCGAUUUAAAAAAUCCGUUAAAAUGUUUCGAGGCUUCCUUUACCUGUGUUUCCGUUGAAAUUAGCGCGAAUUCCCGUCUCCGAGAGCGCAGUUUUAUUUUUUUUUUUCGAGCGCUUCGGAUUCUCCCCCGUCCUCAGCGCGAGCUCUCUACAUUCGCAGCAUCCUCUCCCCGCAGCUGUUGAGGCAAUCGCUGCUCACUCGAAAAUGGCGCCGAAAGAUACACUCCUCAUUCAAAUUCGAUAGAGCCUCCCAUCCUCCUUAUUGGCUGGCGGCAGAGUCGACUCGGCACCGCUGAUUGGCCGUUGAAAAUGCACUCUCGAAUGAUCUCGCAGUCCACCGCAGCAGCGAUCGACGGCGAGAGACAAGUUAACCCUUCAGCUCCCACAGCGAGGAGAAAAGCUCCCCGUUCAAACUUUGAAUUUUUUAUUAUUUUUUAAAAAACAGAAAUGACGUCUCUUAACGUAGCCUCUAUUCUAAUAACAACAAAACUCCGUGCAAUUUAAUGGGAGAAUGAGUGAAAUCCAAAUAUCCAAUUCAAAUCCAAUUAUUAGGCCUGUACUAUAAAGACAAAAAUCAACACUUUUAAGAAUAUUGAAGUUUCUCACUACCCAAAACAGUAAACAGGAUGUCUGUGCCAUCAUACCCGAGCACAUUCACUCCAUAGUGACCCUUCAACAAAACACUUGUUAUAGCCUACACUUAUUUCUACAGGCUGGGCCAUAAGUUUCCAUACAUAGGAAAAUGUAUAAUGUCUAUUUUUUAAUGUUUCAGAAACCCUAGAAGAUGCCUUUGAUGCUAUCUUUGGGGGCCAUGGUGUAUAAGAUGAAGAUACGAGACAUAAAUCCUCUCCAGGAACGUAUCACCAACGCCAUUACAAGCAGAACUUCAACUGUGCUAAUGCAAGUUCGUCAACAGUGGAAAACACAUGUUAAUAUGUAUUUUGGAAACAAUGGUAAUCAUGUAGAGCACAUUAUAUAAAUAAAAACGGUUGUCCAACGUAAAAAGUUUACUUUUCCUAUGUACUGAAACUUAUGGCCCACCCUGUACUUACGUUUAUCUAUAUAUUUUUGUACUGUUUAUACUUCUUGUUAGCAGCGAUAAGGUAGGCAAUGUCCCCUCACGGAUCAAUAAAGUAUUUCUGAUUCUGAA